rnacentral:rRNA from 1 species
GUUACCUACGGGGGGCAGCAGUGAGGAAUAUUGGUCAAUGGGCGCAAGCCUGAACCAGCCAAGUCGCGUGAGGGAAGACGGCCCUACGGGUUGUAAACCUCUUUUGCCGGGGAGCAAGCCUGAGCACGUGUGCCCAGGCGGAGAGUACCCGGAGAAAAAGCAUCGGCUAACUCCGUGCCAGCAGCCGCGGGAAUACGGAGGAUGCGAGCGUUAUCCGGAUUUAUUGGGAUUAAAGGGUGCGCAGGCGGGCUGUUAAGGCGGCGGGACAAAUUCAGGGCGCAACCCC